UACGGGGGGGCAAGCGUUGUUCGGAAUUACUGGGCGUAAAGGGCUCGUAGGCGGCCAACUAAGUCAGACGUGAAAUCCCUCGGCUUAACCGGGAACUGCGUCUGAUACUGGUUGGCUUGAAUCCGGGAGAGGGAUGUGGAAGUUCCAGGUGAUAGCGGUGAAAUGACGCAGAUAUCAGGAGAACACCAGUGGCGAAAGCAGGCU
rnacentral:rRNA from 1 species